rnacentral:rRNA from 1 species
GAGUUUGAUCCUGGCUCAGAUUGAACGCUGGCGGAAUGCUUUACACAUGCAAGUCGAACGGCAGCACGGGAGCUUGCUCCUGGUGGCGAGUGGCGAACGGGUGAGUAAUACAUCGGAACAUGCCUAGUCGUGGGGGAUACCGUAGCGAAAGUUACGUUAAUACCGCAUACGUCCUGAGGGAGAAAGCAGGGGAUUCGCAAGAACCUUGCGCGAUUAGAGUGGCCGAUGCCUGAUUAGCUAGUUGGUGAGGUAAUGGCUCACCAAGGCGACGAUCAGUAGCGGGUCUGAGAGGAUGAUCCGCCACACUGGAACUGAGACACGGUCCAGACUCCUACGGGAGGCAGCAGUGGGGAAUUUUGGACAAUGGGGGCAACCCUGAUCCAGCCAUUCCGCGUGAGUGAAGAAGGCCUUCGGGUUGUAAAGCUCUUUCAGCGGGAACGAAACGGUGCGCUCUAACAUAGCGUAUUAAUGACGGUACCCGCAGAAGAAGCACCGGCUAACUACGUGCCAGCAGCCGCGGUAAUACGUAGGGUGCGAGCGUUAAUCGGAAUUACUGGGCGUAAAGCGUGCGCAGGCGGCUUUUUAAGCCAGACGUGAAAUCCCCGGGCUUAACCUGGGAAUGGCGUUUGGAACUGGAAGGCUAGAGUGUGUCAGAGGGGGGUAGAAUUCCACGUGUAGCAGUGAAAUGCGUAGAGAUGUGGAGGAAUACCGAUGGCGAAGGCAGCCCCCUGGGAUAACACUGACGCUCAUGUACGAAAGCGUGGGUAGCAAACAGGAUUAGAUACCCUGGU